AGUGAAUAGAUACCUGGUAGUCCUGGCAGUAAACGGUGCGCGUUUGGUGUGGGAGGAUUCGACCCCUUCUGUGCCGGAGCUAAACGCGUUAAACGCGCCGCCUGGGGAGUACGGUCGCAAGAUUAAAACUCAAAGAAAUUGACGGGGGCCCGCACAAGCGGUGGAGUAUGUGGCUUAAUUCGAUGCAACGCGAAGAACCUUACCUAGCCUUGACAUGCAUCUCUAAGUCGGUGAAAGCCGGCGACCAUAGCAAUAUGGAAUUUGCACAGGUGCUGCAUGGCUGUCGUCAGCUCGUGUCGUGAGAUGUUGGGUUUAAGUCCCGCAACGAGCGCAACCCCUGUGAACUGUUGCCACCACACUACGGUGUGAGCACUCUGUUCAGACUGCCCUGUGAAACGGGGAGGAAGGUGGGGAUGACGUCAAGUCAGCAUGGCCCUUACGGCUAGGGCUGCACACGUACUACAAUGCUCAGUACAGAAUGAACCGAAACCGCGAGGUGGAGGAAAUCCCUAAAACUGAGCUCAA
rnacentral:rRNA from 1 species